GACAGAGGAUGCAAGCGUUAUCCGGAAUUACUGGGCGUAAAGCGUGCGCAGGCGGUUCGUUGUGUCUGUGGUGAAAGCCCCGGGCUUAACCCUGGGAAUGGCCAUGGAAACUGGCGAGCUGGAGUGUGGCAGAGGGGGUGGGAAUUCCGCGUGUAGCAGUGAAAUGCGUAGAGAUGCGGAGGAACACCGAUGGCGAAGGCAGCCCCCUGGGUUGACACUGACGCUCAGGCACGAAAGCGUGGGGAGCAAACAGG
rnacentral:rRNA from 1 species